rnacentral:rRNA from 1 species
GCGUAAAGGGCUCGCAGGCGGUUUCUUAAGUCUGAUGUGAAAGCCCCCGGCUCAACCGGGGAGGGUCAUUGGAAACUGGGGAACUUGAGUGCAGAAGAGGAGAGUGGAAUUCCACGUGUAGCGGUGAAAUGCGUAGAGAUGUGGAGGAACACCAGUGGCGAAGGCGACUCUCUGGUCUGUAACUGACGCUGAGGAGCGAAAGCGUGGGGAGCGAACAGGAUUAGAUACCCUGGUAGUCCACGCCGUAAACGAUGAGUGCUAAGUGUUAGGGGGUUUCCGCCCCUUAGUGCUGCAGCUAACGCAUUAAGCACUCCGCCUGGGGAGUACGGUCGCAAGACUGAAACUCAAAGGAAUUGACGGGGGCCCGCACAAGCGGUGGAGCAUGUGGUUUAAUUCGAAGCAACGCGAAGAACCUUACCAGGUCUUGACAUCCUCUGACAAUCCUAGAGAUAGGACGUCCCCUUCGGGGGCAGAGUGACAGGUGGUGCAUGGUUGUCGUCAGCUCGUGUCGUGAGAUGUUGGGUUAAGUCCCGCAACGAGCGCAACCCUUGAUCUUAGUUGCCAGCAUUCAGUUGGGCACUCUAAGGUGACUGCCGGUGACAAACCGGAGGAAGGUGGGGAUGACGUCAAAUCAUCAUGCCCCUUAUGACCUGGGCUACACACGUGCUACAAUGGACAG